CUGCCUGCCUGCCUGCCAGUCUAUCUAUCUAUUUCUCAUUUGUUAUUUUUGGAGAUUGGGCCUUGCAUUAUAAUCCUGGGUGAACUAGAUUUAAAUAUAUAGACUCAACAAGCCCUCAAAAUCACAGAGAUCUGCCUGCUGCUGUCUUGGGAGUGCUUGGAUUAAAGCAGAGGUUGACAUCUGAGAGCAUGUCUCUGUGAAUGCUUAUGCAGACAGCCACAUAAACACGUGUCUAAAUCAAGAUACUGAACAUCCAUCCCCAGAAGGUUCUCUGCCUCUCGCAAGUGCUUAUCCAAGAGGAGCAAUGUCUGUAGACUGCUUUGGACAGCAGCACCAUCAGGGACCCCAGAAGGCCAAGAAGAAGUAUGGAUCCCAGAGUGACGAUGAACGGCACAUACCAUGCAGAUGUGGAGUACACGUUUUCCCUGCGGAUCUGGUAUCUUUGACUAUCCUGAAACUUCCUCUGAAGCCCAGGCAGGUUCAAACUCACAGAGAUCCACCCACCUCUGCUUCCUGAGGGCUAAGGUUAAAGGCGUGUGCCACCACCACAGCUCACAUUUUUCUUUCCUGUGAGAAGUCAGUGGCUCUGAGUCCGAGCUCUUACACAGAUUCCCAUCAGCUAAUCCAUGGCCCUUCCAAACACAUGCCUCAACGUUUUGUUUGUUUGUCUUGUUUUGUUUUUCUGUCUGCCUCACGCUUCUGGGUCAAAGGGUUCCACUGCUAUACAUCCUAAGGACUUUUGGCUGCAGAUUCCAGGUCCCAGAUCCUUACCCUGGGAGUUGUGAUGGUUGUGGUUGGGUGAGGAAUGACUUUAACACUCAGAGUCACUGUCCCUGUUUCAACAA